CCAACAGGGAUUGCCUUAGUAACGGCGAGUGAAGCGGCAAAAGCUCAAAUUUGAAAUCUGACACCUUUGGUGUUCGAGUUGUAAUUUGGAGAGGCAUCUUCUGGAGGGGGUCGGUCUAUGUUAUGUGCCUUGGAACAGGACAUCAUAGAGGGUGAGAAUCCCGUUCGUGGCCGGCUCUUCCCUUCUGUAAGAAGUGUCUUCUACGAGUCGAGUUGUUUGGGAAUGCAGCUCAAAAUGGGUGGUAAAUUUCAUCUAAAGCUAAAUAUUGGCGAGAGACCGAUAGCGCACAAGUAGAGUGAUCGAAAGAUGAAAAGCACUUUGAAAAUAGAGUCAAACAGUACGUGAAAUUGUUGAAGGGGAAGCGCUUAGGACCAGACCUGGCCUUUGGUGAACAAUCGCCCACCGGGGCGGUGUACUUUGUCAUUGGUCGGGCCAGCAUGGGUUGGGACGGUGGGAUAAAGACUCGGGAAAUGUGACUCCUUUAUGGAGUGUUAUAGUCCUGGGUGGCAU
rnacentral:rRNA from 1 species